GAAUUGAUGGGAGCUUGCUCCCUGAUAUUAGCGGCGGACGGGUGAGUAACACGUGGGUAACCUGCCUGUAAGAUUGGGAUAACUCCGGGAAACCGGAGCUAAUACCGGAUAAUAUUUUGAACCGCAUGGUUCGAAAUUGAAAGAUGGUUUCGGCUAUCACUUACAGAUGGACCCGCGGCGCAUUAGCUAGUUGGUGAGGUAACGGCUCACCAAGGCAACGAUGCGUAGCCGACCUGAGAGGGUGAUCGGCCACACUGGGACUGAGACACGGCCCAGACUCCUACGGGAGGCAGCAGUAGGGAAUCUUCCGCAAUGGACGAAAGUCUGACGGAGCAACGCCGCGUGAACGAUGAAGGCCUUCGGGUCGUAAAGUUCUGUUGUUAGGGAAGAACAAGUACCAGAGUAACUGCUGGUACCUUGACGGUACCUAACCAGAAAGCCACGGCUAACUACGUGCCAC
rnacentral:rRNA from 2 species